CCUACGGGUGGCAGCAGUGGGGAAUAUUGGGCAAUGGGCGCAAGCCUGACCCAGCAACGCCGCGUGAAGGAAGAAGGCCCUCGGGUUGUAAACUUCUUUUAUUCGGGACGAAACAAAUGACGGUACCUGAGGAAUAAGCCACGGCUAACUACGUGCCAGCAGCCGCGGUAAUACGUAGGUGGCAAGCGUUAUCCGGAUUUACUGGGUGUAAAGGGCGUGUAGGCGGGACUGCAAGUCAGAUGUGAAAACCACGGGCUCAACCUGUGGCCUGCAUUUGAAACUGUAGUUCUUGAGUACUGGAGAGGCAGACGGAAUUCCUAGUGUAGCGGUGAAAUGCGUAGAUAUUAGGAGGAACACCAGUGGCGAAGGCGGUCUGCUAGACAGCAACUGACGCUGAGGCGCGAAAGCGUGGGGAGCAAACAGGAUUAGAUACCCUUGUAGUC
rnacentral:rRNA from 1 species